ensembl:snRNA U2 U2 spliceosomal RNA
GGCAAUUCUAGGCCUUUUGGCUCAGAUCAAGUGUCUGUUCCUAUCAGUUUAACAUCUGUGUCCUUUACCUGAGGACAGCAUAUUACAUUGAUUUUUAUUUUUUUAUUAUUU